ACAUGCAAGUCGAACGGUAACGGCGAGGGCAACCCUGCGACGAGUAGCGAACGGGUGAGUAAUACAUCGGAACAUAUCCAGUAGCGGGGAUAACCUAUCGAAAGAUUGGCUAAUACCGCAUACGAUCUACGAAUGAAAGCGGGGACCGCAAGGCCUCGCACUAUUGGAGUGGCCGAUGUCAGAUUGGCUAGUUGGUGGGGUAAAAGCCUACCAAGGCGACGAUCUGUAGCUGGUCUGAGAGGACGAUCAGCCACACUGGAACUGAGACACGGUCCAGACUCCUACGGGAGGCAGCAGUGGGGAAUUUUGGACAAUGGGCGCAAGCCUGAUCCAGCCAUGCCGCGUGCAGGAAGAAGGCGUUAUGCGUUGUAAACUGCUUUUGCCAGGGGAUAAAAAUUCCAUGCGUGGAAGAUUGAAGGUACCUGGUGAAUAAGCCACGGCUAACUACGUGCCAGCAGCCGCGGUAAUACGUAGGUGGCAAGCGUUGUCCGGAUUUAUUGGGUUUAAAGGGUGCGUAGGCGGCCCUGUAAGUCAGUGGUGAAAUACUCCAGCUUAACUGGAGGGGUGCCAUCGAUACUGCAGGGCUUGAGUGGAGUCGAAGUAGGCGGAAUUGACGGUGUGGCGGUGAAAUGCUUAGAUAUCGUCAAGAACACCGAUAGUGAAGACAGUUUACUAGGCUUCUACUGACGCCGAGGCACGAAAGUGUGGGGAUCAGACAGGAUUAGAUACCCUGGUAGUCCACACUGUAAACGUUGAUUACUCGCUGUUGGCGAUACACAGCCAGCGGCCAAGCGCAAGCGAUAAGUAAUCCACCUGGGGAGUACGCCGGCAACGGUGAAACUCAAAAGAAUUGACGG
rnacentral:rRNA from 1 species